rnacentral:rRNA from 1 species
CCUACGGGAGGCAGCAGUGAGGAAUAUUGCACAAUGGGGGAAACCCUGAUGCAGCGACGCCGCGUGAGCGAUGACGUAUUUCUGUAUGUAAAGCUCUAUCAGCAGGGAAGAAGAUGACGGUACCUGACUAAGAAGCCCCAGCUAACUACGUGCCAGCAGCCGCGGUAAUCCGUAGGGGGCAAGCGUUAUCCGGAUUUACUGGGUGUAAAGGGGGCGUAGACGGCGCUGCAAGGCAGAUGUGAAAGCCCGGGGCUCAACCCCGGGACUGCCUUUGGAAAUGGGUGGCUGGAGUGUCGGAGAGGCAGGCGGAAUUCCUAGUGUAGCGGUGAAAUGCGUAGAUAUUAGGAGGAACACCAGUGGCGAAGGCGGCCUGCUGGACGAUGACUGACGUUGAGGCUCGAAAGCGUGGGGAGCAAACAGGAUUAGAUACCCGUGUAGUC